GGAAACAACUUAUUUUGGCACCUACUCUAUCUCACAGUCUCAUGUUUUCACAAAUCUCUCUCUAUCUGUUUCUCACGGUCAACAACUCUUCCUUGCACUGAAUUGCAAUGGGAAAUAAAAAGGAUACUCAGAAGGUCAAGGACACCAAGACCAACUUCAGGUGGUCACAACCAAUGUAGAAUUUAUUACUUGAGAUACUUGCAUAUGAGGCUCUUCAUGGAAAUAAGCAAUCCAACACAUUUAAACAUGCAUCAUAUGCUAAAGUAGCUGAAGCAAUUACUGAUAAAUUUAUGACUGAAUGUACUCCAAAGCAUGUGGAACAUUGUUUUAAAACACUCAAAACCAAUUGGAAUACAAUUGCAUUACUUCGUAAUAAGAAAAACGGGUUUGGAUGGAAUGACGAUUUGAAAAUGAUCACCUGUGAUAGGACAGUGUAUGAUGAAGAAGUCGAGGCACAUCCAAAUCAUGCACAAUUUCUAAACAAGAAAAUUGAGAUGUUUGAUGAGAUGGCUUUG